AAUUGAUCAAUUAUAGAUUUAAAUGGGUCUGAAUAUUUGAAAUAUUCACAUCAGUUUUCGUAUACUAAUUAACAUGCAAGUUCGUGAAGCUAGCUACACUUAAUAUUAAAUUUGAAAUCGAUGGCAAUAAUCCAUCAGAACUUUGGCUCGAAAUCUAAACUCAACAACUUUUGUAAAAGAAUUCUCUCGCCAAUAACCAAUAUGAAGAUGCCUCCGCUAUUCCCCAUAAUGAUUUUAAUAGUAAUUGGAUUAAAUUAUCGAAACAAGUAAAACAAAUAAACAUUUGCAAUUUUACUCUGUAUUCGUAUUAAAGCUCAGAAUGGGGAGUACCCCUAUUAUUUAAAUGAAGCCCGGUAUCAAACUCAUUUAAUUGGUGACAAUGUGAUAAAUAAAACAAAAAUAUGAUGGCAUAA